rnacentral:rRNA from 1 species
UUUUGCGUACCUAUGUUUCCUCGGCAGGCUUGCCUGCCGGCUGGACAAUUCUAUAACCUUUUUAAUUUUUAAUCAGCGUCUGAAAAAACUUAAUAAUUACAACUUUCAACAACGGAUCUCUUGGUUCUGGCAUCGAUGAAGAACGCAGCGAAAUGCGAUAAGUAGUGUGAAUUGCAGAAUUCAGUGAAUCAUCGAAUCUUUGAACGCACAUUGCGCCCCUUGGUAUUCCAUGGGGCAUGCCUGUUCGAGCGUCAUUUGUACCUUCAAGCUUUGCUUGGUGUUGGGUGUUUGUCCUCUCCUUGGUGUUUGGACUCGCCUUAAAACAAUUGGCAGCCAGUGUUUUGGUAUUGAAGCGCAGCACAAGUCGCGAUUCUGACCUAGUAACACUUGCAUCCACAAGUCUUUUUAACUUUUGACCUCGGAUCAGGUAGGGAUACCCGCUGAACUUAAGCAUAUCAAUAGGCGAAGGAAGAUUCCGCAG